rnacentral:tRNA from 1 species
GUGGCUGUAGCUCAGUUGGUUAGAGCACUGGUUUGUGGAGCCAGGGGUCGCCGGUUCAAAUCCGGUCUGCCACCCCA